rnacentral:rRNA from 1 species
UACGGAGGGUGCGAGCGUUGUCCGGAAUCACUGGGCGUAAAGGGCGCGUAGGUGGUUUGAUAAGGGUGUGGUGAAAGUCCGGAGCUCAACUCCGGAUCUGCCGUGCCGACUGUCAAACUCGAGGGCUGUAGAGGCAGACGGAAUUCCGGGUGUAGCGGUGGAAUGCGUAGAGAUCCGGAGGAAGACCGGUGGCGAAGGCGGUCUGCUGGGCAGUUUCUGACACUGGAGGCGCGACAGCGUGGGGAGCAAACAGG